rnacentral:rRNA from 1 species
CUACGGGGUGCAGCAGUGAGGAAUAUUGCACAAUGGGGGGAACCCUGAUGCAGCAACGCCGCGUGGAGGAUGACGCAUUUCGGUGUGUAAACUCCUUUUAUAUGUCAAGAAAAUGACGGCAGCAUACGAAUAAGCACCGGCUAACUCCGUGCCAGCAGCCGCGGUAAUACGGAGGGUGCAAGCGUUACUCGGAAUCACUGGGCGUAAAGGACGCGUAGGCGGGUUGGAAAGUCAGGUGUGAAAUCCUACAGCUUAACUGUAGAACUGCACUUGAAACUUCUAAUCUAGAGUAUGGGAGGGGGAGAUGGAAUUAGUGGUGUAGGGGUAAAAUCCGUAGAUAUCACUAGGAAUACCUAAAGCGAAGGCGAUCUCCUGGAACAUUACUGACGCUAAGGCGUGAAAGCGUGGGGAGCAAACAGGAUUAGAUACCCCGGUAGUC